CAUGUUAUUGGUAUAUUUAGUGUAUGUAUAUUAUCCCUCACAGUCACGUAGACUUACUUUCCAUGUUACAAUGACGGAUCCACUUUCCUCAUACAUGAUCUUGGAUUCAAAAGUUGACUACUGGGCACCCAUAUGACCAACAGUAGGCUAAGUGAUUCUCCAAAUAAACAUGGAAGGAAUCUUCUAGUUGUAGCAUUCUAUGAUCUACCAUUGCAACAAAGAGAAGUUUCUCCCUUUAUCCCUAUUACCGCUUUUGCCUAAUUAACCCCACCUCACCGAUGCAGCAGCUGUGAAUUCAAUUUUCUUCUGGUUUGGCAAUCUUGCUGUUUCACGUCUUCUGGGUCCGAUCUGAAUUUACUUCUGCUUGAUUACUUUGUUUUGAUAUUGAUUGCCGCCAUCUUUCCUCUUUUCAUCCCUAAUUUUUUUUUUUCUAAUUUCAGAGUUCAAGUAACGAUUCUUGUUUGUGACAAGAUUUAUUGAGAGAACACUUUUUGUAGUAGUUAAUGCGAAUCCUCUAUUGCUGCAGCAACUGGGUAUGCCUGUAACCCUCUUGACGAGUUCUUCGAGGCAGAUUGAAGUCAAGAUGAGGACAUACCUGCUGUCUAGGGACAGUACUCUUUAUUUAUUUAUUUUUUAACUAUUACUCAUUUCUUAAUAUUGUCUAUUGACAUUCUUGAAUCGAAUUACAUUGGGUUCAAAGGAAUGAGAGCAGGAUUAUUGUUAAAUUUCAGUCAUUGCAGCAACAUAUUAUUCUUGGAGAUGGUUCGUGUUUGCAUCAAGACUGUGAAGAUGUCCUCUUGCCAGGUCAUUGAGAGGGAGGUACUGUAAAGUAAAAUGACCUUGGACUUCCACACCAACAAGAAGAUCUUGAAAGAAGUUGCUAUCAUUCCCUCGUAGCGGCUUGUAAUAAGUUUGCUGGAUUUUCCACCCACCAAUGAAGCGUAUUCAGAAGGGUACUGUUUGUGGUAUCUCUUCGAAACUGCAAGAGGAAAAGCGUGAACAUCUCAUGGACUUCGUGCUGGAACAGUCUGCCAUUAAGAUCAGAUACCAGAAAAAAUAUAAGCGAGUAGACAUUCGAGCGAUUGAGAAUUGGGUUCGUCAAAUCUUAUAAGGCCUCUUGUAUCUACAUGGCCAUGAUCCUCUAGCAAUUCAUAGACCUGAAAUGUGACAACAUCUUUUUCAAUGGCCAUUUUGGAAUGUGGUGCUAGAAAACCAUCAAAUAUAUGUAUAUGUAUUAUUUUUUUUUUUUUUAGUAGUAGGGAAUUUAAUAUUAUCUUGUUAAAUUCUUAACAUUAAUUUGUACAAAUUCAUUAUAAUUUAUAACAUCAAGAAUAAAUGCAAAUUAGUGUGAAAAA